GCAUAAGCGCACAGCUUCGCAUGAAGCAGUGUGGAAAACAAAAAGCUAAAGCUUUUGGUGGUAUACGAUGGAUCCGCGUCUGAUUAGCUUGUUGGCGGGGUAAAGGCCCACCAAGGCGACGAUCAGUAGCCGGCCUGAGAGGGUGAACGGCCACAUUGGGACUGAGACACGGCCCAAACUCCUACGGGAGGCAGCAGUGGGGAAUAUUGCACAAUGGGGGAAACCCUGAUGCAGCGACGCCGCGUGAGUGAAGAAGUAUUUCGGUAUGUAAAGCUCUAUCAGCAGGGAAGAAAAUGACGGUACCUGACUAAGAAGCCCCGGCUAACUACGUGCCAGCAGCCGCGGUAAUACGUAGGGGGCAAGCGUUAUCCGGAUUUACUGGGUGUAAAGGGAGCGUAGACGGCAGCGCAAGUCUGGAGUGAAAUCCCAUGGCUUAACCAUGGAACUGCUUUGGAAACUGUGCAGCUAGAGUGCAGGAGAGGUAAGCGGAAUUCCUAGUGUAGCGGUGAAAUGCGUAGAUAUUAGGAGGAACACCAGUGGCGAAGGCGGCUUACUGGACUGUAACUGACGUUGAGGCUCGAAAGCGUGGGGGAGCAAACAGGAUUAGAUACCCUGGUAG
rnacentral:rRNA from 1 species